AAGCUCGUAGUUGAAUUUCGGGAUUAGUACGUCGGUCGUGCCUUAGGUACGUACUGGUGUUACUGGUUCCUACCUUCUGACGAACCAUCAUGUCAUUAAUUUGGUGUGGUGGGGAAUCAGGACUGUUACUUUGAAGAAAUUAGAGUGUUUAAAGCAGGCUCGCGCUUGAAUACAUUAGCAUGGAAUAAUGAAAUAGGACGUUGAUCCUAUUUUGUUGGUUUCUAGGAUUGACGUAAUGAUUAAUAGGGAUAGUUGGG
rnacentral:rRNA from 1 species